rfam:Lachnoclostridium sp. An14 An14_contig_77, whole genome shotgun sequence.
AAACACAAAGAUAAAAACGCAACGUAAGAGCUUUUCUUACAGAGCCGGUAGGUAGCCCGGCCGCACCGUUUGGUGUAAGUAACCCUCCCUCCUUAGGGUCGUCCGUUCUUUGUUCAUCACAA